AUGGCGUCCACGGCUGCGGCGGCGCUCGCGGUCACGGACGAGCUGGCCCUGCCGCUCCGCGCGGUGGGGGACCUGGCGGCGGCCGCCGGGGUCUCGCGGGAGGAGGUCGUCGUCAUCACGCAGUGCGCCUCGCUCGGUGGGAAGUUGCCUUUUGAUGAUGCAUCGGUGGGUGCUGUUCUAUCUGUCAUAAAAAAUGUGGAGAGCUUUGGGGAUAAGUUGGUUGCUGAAAUUAGCCGAGUGCUGAAAGCUGGUGGAAUUGUGCUGGUACAGAGCUUCACACCCUCUGCUGAUCAGAAGCCAAACAAUUAUAUCGAGCGCCAGCUACUCAUGGGUGGUUUUGUUGAAGUGCAAGCUUCUGCCACAAGCUCGCAGGAUAGUGUGCAAUCUGUUACUAUCAAGGCAAAGAAGCCCUCCUGGAGUAUGGGUUCUUCCUUCCCCCUGAAGAAAGCAGUAAAGGCUCUUCCAAAGAUUGAAAUUGACGAUGAUGAUGAACUGAUUGACGAAGACAGCCUCUUGACUGAGGAGGACUUGAAGAAGCCACAGCUUCCAGUUGUAGGAGAUUGUGAGGUGGGAGCUACAAAGAAGGCGUGCAAGAACUGCAGUUGUGGCAGGGCCGAGGCUGAGCAGAAGGUGGAGAAGCUGGGGCUCACUGCAGAACAGAUUGAUAACCCUGUCUCAGCUUGUGGCAGUUGUGGGUUGGGCGAUGCGUUCCGAUGCAGCACCUGCCCAUACAGAGGCCUGGCGCCGUUCAAGUUGGGCGAGAAGGUUACCUUGUCUGACAACUUCCUCUCAGCCGACAUAUGA
rnacentral:rRNA from 1 species